GUAGGUGGCAAGCGUUGUCCGGAAUUAUUGGGCGUAAAGCGCGCGCAGGCGGUUCUUUAAGUCUGAUGUGAAAGCCCACGGCUCAACCGUGGAGGGUCAUUGGAAACUGGAGAACUUGAGUACAGAAGAGGAAAGCGGAAUUCCACGUGUAGCGGUGAAAUGCGUAGAGAUGUGGAGGAACACCAGUGGCGAAGGCGGCUUUCUGGUCUGUAACUGACGCUGAGGCGCGAAAGCGUGGGGAGCAAACAGGGAUUAGAUACCCUGGUAGUCCACGCCGUAAACGAUGAGUGCUAAGUGUUAGGGGGUUUCCGCCCCCUUAGUGCUGCAGCUAACGCAUUAAGCAUCCGCCUGGGGAUACGGCCGCAAGGCUG
rnacentral:rRNA from 1 species